rfam:Felis catus isolate Cinnamon breed Abyssinian chromosome D4, whole genome shotgun sequence.
GCCUGGGUGGCUCAGUCGGUUGAGCGUCUGACUUCAGUUCAGGUCAUGAUCUCGUGAUUUGUGAGUUCGAGCCCUGCGUCGGGCU